rnacentral:rRNA from 1 species
UACGUAGGGUGCAGGCGUUAAUCGGAAUUACUGGGCGUAAAGCGUGCGCAGGCGGUUUGCUAAGACAGGUGGGAAAUCCCCGGGCUUAACCUGGGAACUGCGCUUGUUACUGGCAGGCUUGAGUGUGGCAGAGGGGGGUGGAAUUCCACGUGUAGCAGUGAAAUGCGUAGAGAUGUGGAGGAACACCGAUGGCGAAGGCAGCCCCCUGGGCUAACACUGAUGCUCAUGCACGAAAGCGUGGGGAGCAAACAGG